CCCAAUUAUCUCCAUAAUUCUCUCUCCACCGUUUCUCAUUCCCAUUCUCUCUUUCAUUCUCUCUUUUUUUUCCUACCACCGUUCUCUCUAUUUCACUCUCCCCACCCUUUCUCAUUCUCAUUCUUUUUUUUUUCCUACCACCGUUCGAAGACGAUGCCUUGGUGCUGUUGUUCUCCAAAUGUCGGACGGAAAUGAGGGAAAUGCCGGACGAAAAACUCAAAGGUUAUGCUUCAUUUUUCCUCUCCAUGUGCUUCUUUUCAAUUUUUUUCACAGCAUGUUCAUUGUUUCUUCUAAAGCUACCUUUUUUUUUCCUACCACCGUUCGAAGACGAUGCCUUGGUGUUGUUGUUCUCCAAAUGCCGGACGGAAAUGACGGAGAUGCCGAACGAAAAAAUCAAAGGUUAUGCUUCAUUUUCCCUCUCUAUGUACUUUUUUUCGAUUUUUUUCACAGCAUGUUCAUUGUUUCUUCUAAAGCUAUCAUUUUUAUCUCAAAAAGCUUCGAUUUUUAUCUCCAAACUCCAUGAAUGUGCUUCAUUUUCCCUCUCCAUGUGCUUUUUUUUUAUUUUUUUUACAACAUGUUCGUUGUUUCUUCUAAAGCUACCAUUUUUAUCUCAAAAAACUUCGAUUUUUCUUUUCAAACUCCAUGAAUGUGCUUCGAUUUCCCUCUCCAUGUGCUUUUUAUUUUUUUAUUUUUUUCACAGCAUGUUCAUUGUUUCUUCUAAAUCUACCUUUUUUUUCCUACCACCGUUCGAAGACGAUACCUUGGUGCUGUUGUUCUCCAAAUGCCGGACCGAAAUGAUGGAGAUGUCAAACGAAAAACUCAAAGGCUGAAGAUUGACCAGUAAUUCAAUUAGGCCAAGAAAAGCUACUUCAAUGGGAUCACUCAAUAGUUCAUCACAAAAUACUUUUUACCUGUUUAGUGAAUUUGUAAAAUAGGACAUCUGUGUUGUAAUUCUAAUUUCAAGUUUGUUUUUAAUAAGCAUCUGAAUCUUUUGUAUAUAAAUUGUUCAGAUCACUCAUAAAAAUAUUCACAGCCUAGAUCUUGUGUUGUAAUUACAACAACCAGUUUUACCAAUGAAUAUUUACUUUUUAUUUUCUA